UUUUUUUGGGCUUCACCUAUGGCAUACGGAAGUUCCCAGGCAGGGGUUGAAUCAGACUGCAGCUGCUGGCCUAGACCACAGACUGGAUUUGAGCCACAUCCAUGACCUACACCAGAGCUCAUGGCAACAUGAGAUCCUUAACUCACUGAGCAAGGCCAGGGAUCAAACACGCAUCCUCUUGGAUACCACUUGAGUUCAUUAACACUGAGCCACAAUGAGAACUCUGAAAAGUGAUGAAUUUUUGUAGGAAAUAUAGAAGGUUUCAAACCUUUGAGGGACUAUGGCUGUGUAUGUAUAUAUUUUAAAAAUUUUUUUCCAGAAGACAGACUUUGGCCCUUUCUGAGACUUUAGGAGCAUCUCUUCACAGGAUUGCUUUUUCUUAGAAGUUCCUUUUGACUCUUUAGAGUUAGUGGGCACAGGAGAGUCCCAGAAAAGAAACUAGGAGUUGGCUGGCUGCCCAUAAAAUAUUUCUUUUCUAUUUAGGUUAUGCAGUGAAGUUUAUGAGGGUAAAAAGAGUCAGGAAUUCAAGGCUCUUACCUAUAAGUCUCUUAUCUAGAAAUAAAACAAAGCAAACAAUGGAAACUUCCCUCAGAUGAUAUUUGUCAAAAAUCUGAAUACAGCUUAAUAGGCUCAAAAGGUUGAAAAGUCCAUAAGAGAGCUGCUCAAAUCUAGUUUCUCUCUAAUGGGUCUAUAUAAAGUGUCACCAAGCAUCAGUAUGUACCAAGUGGCUUCUCCUUCUGGUCCCUUAUCAUGAUUUUAGAAUGUGAACAGGACUCCCCCUUGUGAUCCUAAGCAUCAUCCAUUUUUAAUAUGCCCUGGGUAACAUCUAUAUCUCUUGUUUCAACUGGGUUUGGAAGAAGCCAGUGACAAAAACAUUGGGCAUGGUGUCAAUCGGUAAAACUAGGCUUUAAAAUAUAAAUUCUCAAAUUUUAGAGAAAUAUUUUAUCACUUUAUUAGCUGAAAUUGAUGAAAUCAUAAAUAACUCAUAAUAAAUGAAGAAUUAUUCCUCACUUUAGCCCCCAAUAUCACUACCUUGAGAGUGAAGCUUCUCCAAGUUUUUACCUGAGAAUGUCUACAUCUUUCCUAAUAUGGUCCUAUCUUUCAGUCUUCUAUGCUUUUACUCUCUCCUUCCAGUUCACUCAGGCUUUACUGCUUAACCUUUCCUUCAAUCCAGUGCCACUUCUUUGCCCUCAGUUUCACCCAUGCUUAGUCCCAGUGAGCAUUCUAUGGCUUCCCAAAUAAAUAUUUUCUUAAGACAGCUUCUGCUAGGGAGUCCUAAGUUAUCUGGAUUGGGUCUAGCCUUGAGUGUGGCAACCAAAUCAAGUGUUUCUUCAAACAAGGAGUGAAAACAACUGAGCCUGUUUUGCAUAGAAACAAGGACUGAAAAUGCACUGAGAAUGCAAUAUAGACACUAUUCCUUGAGCUCACGGCCAACUUCAAAUGAAUGAUAGAAAUGUGUGAUGAGAGGGAGUUCCUGUCAUGGCACAGUGGAAGAAAUCCAACUAGAAACCAUGAGACUGAGUGUUUGAUCCCUGGCCUUGCUCAGGGGGUUAAUGAUCCAGCAUUGGCGUGAGCUGUGGUGUAGGUUGCAGAUGCAACUCGGAUCUAGCAUUGCUGUGGCUGUGGUGUAGGCUGGCAGCUACAGCUCUGAUUAGACCCCUAGCCUGGGAACCUCUGUAUGCCACGGGUAUGGCCCUAAAAGGAAAAAAAAAAAAAAAAAAAGCAAAAAAAAAGCAAUGUAGGGCAAGCAUGAGAGGACCUACCAUGCUAUCCAGAGAAAACCAUGACUCAAAAAGAUACAUGUACUCCAAUGUUCAUUGAAGCACUAUAUACAAUAGCCAAGACAUGGAAACAACCUAAAUGUCCAUCAACAGAAGAGCGGAUAAAGAAGAGGUGGUACAUACACAAUGGAAUAUUAUUCAGCCAUUAAAAGGAAAGAAAUAAUGGCAUUUGCAGCAACAAGAUGGACAUAAAAUUAUCAAACUAAGUGAAAUCAGUCAGACGGCGAGACACCAACAUCAUACGCUAUCAUUUACAUGUGGAAUCUAAAAAAAGGACACAAUGAACUUCUUCGCAGAGCAGAUACUGACUCACAGACUUUGAAAAAAAUAUGGUUUCCAAAUGAGACAUGGUGCGGGUGGGGCGAUAUGCUGGGAGUUUGGGAUGGAAAUGCUAUAAAAUUGGGUUGUGAUGAUCAUUGUACAACUAUAAAUGUAAUAAAAUUUGUUGAGUAAUAAAAAAAUAAAAAAAUCUUCAAAACACUCCAAGAAGCAGAUGUUAUUGCUAGCUGCAUUUCAUAUAGGGGAACCCUAAGAUUUAAAGGGCUUAAGUAACUAUUUUUGAGCACCCUGUAAUUAGUGGAAAUGGGACUUGAACCCAGGCUGUCUGACUCUGAAGCCAACACUUUUAUCCACUAGGCUUUACCAGCAGUUGUGAUCAUGGUAAGGGAAUCUGAAUAGAAUCUGAGUCAGCUGAGGGGAGAGCAGUGCAAUAUAAGCAGCAGAAAUAGCGUCAGAAGUGGGUAGCACUAUUUCCUCUGGAUUUCUGAUCAUUGUUGAGUAUUUCCUUGAGCACAAGGCCAAUCUCAGAUGACUGACAGAAAAGCACAGUGAGAAAAAUAUUCCCUGAAUAAGUUAUGGAGGAUCCAUCUCCAGAAAGAUAAUGUAAUAAAAUUUUUAUUACACCUCAGUGAUUCAAAAAAAAGAUUUAUUGAUUUUAUUACUUUCUUAAAAGAGAUAGUAUAUCUUGGUAGCCUUUAAUUAGUUCAUUAAAAUGAUUUUUGAAUUGUGGCUUUCAAUCACACUUUUCAAUCACACAAAAGAAGAAAAACUGGAAAUGGUUCAGAU
rnacentral:lncRNA from 1 species